AGUGCUAGGAACUCUUCCCCUAGCAAGCAGCCCUUCCUGACUACAGAAAGUUCUUAUCUACCUGGCAGGGACCUUAAGGAGGUUCUGGGCCUCUGUAUACAGCCCAGGGAAUAGCAGGAGGAACUCUAGCUUUUCUACCUGCAGAGGGGCAACAAAAUGGCUCUGGGAAGCAGGUUUUGGCAUACAGGCUCCCCUUCUUGGGAUCAGGAAUGAUGAAGCUGAGACAAAAUUUAACCACCCUGAUACAAUGUCCUAUGAUGGGACCUGAGGUUAGCACACAGAAAGAAGAUGGACACAGGGUUCUUUGCCUUUGGUACCAUUCUCCUUACAGUACAAAGUACAGUAAAAGUGCAAAGAUGUAUUU
rnacentral:lncRNA from 1 species